UACCUGGUCGAUCCUGCCAGUAGCAUAUGCUUAUCUCAAAGAUUAAGCCAUGCAUGUCUAAGUACACAUGGCUGGUACAGUGAAACUGCAAAUGGCUCAUUAAAUCAGUUAUGGUUCCUUUGGUCACUUGCUCCUCUCCUACUUGGAUAACUGUGGUAAUUAUAGAGCUAAUACAUGCUUACGGGUGCUGACCCCUGACAAGGUGGGGAUGUGUGCAUUUAUCAGAUCAAAACCAACGGUCAGCUCCCCCCCACCUGGGCCGGGGGUGCGGGCGCCAGUGGCUUUGGUGACUCUAGAUAACCUCGGGCUGAUCGCACGCCCCCUGUGGUGGUGAUGACCCAUUCAAACGUCUGCCCUAUCAACUUUCGAUGGUAGUUGCCGUGCCUACCAUGGUGACCAUGGAUGACAGGGAAUCAGGGUUUGAUUCCAGAGAAGGAGCCUGAGAAAUGGCUACCACAUCCAAGGAAGGCAGCAGGUGCCCAAAUUACCCACUCCCAACCUGGGGAGGUAGUGACAAAAAAUAACAAUACAGGACUCUUUUGAGGCUCUGUAAUUGGAAUGAGUCCACUUUAAAUCCUUUAACGAGUAUCCAUUAGGAUCUAUUGGAGGGCAAGUCUGGUGCCAGCAGCCAUGGUAAUUCCAGCUCCAAUAGCGUAUAUUAAAGUUGCUGCAGUUAAAAAGCUCGUAGUUGGAUCUUGGGAGCAGGCGGGUGGUCUGCUGCGAGGCGCCCCUUGCCUCUCGGUGUCCCCUUGAUGCUCUUAGCUGAGUGUCUCACGGGGCCCAAAGCAUUUACUUUGAAAAAAUUAGAGUGUUCAAAGCAGGCCCGAGCCGCCUGGAUACCGCAGCUAGGAAUAAUGGAAUAGGACCGCGGUUCUAUUUUGUUGGUUUUCGGAACUGAGGCCAUGAUUAAGAGGGAUGGCCGGGGGCAUUUGUAUUGCGCCGCUAGAGGUGGAAUUCUUGGACCCGCACAAGACGGACCAGAGAAAAAGCAUUUGCCAAGAAUGUUUUCAUUAAUCAAGAACAAAAGUCAGAGGUUUGAAGAUGAUCAGAUACCGUUGUAGUUCCGACCAUAAAUGAUGCCAACUGGCAAUGCGGCAGCAUUAUUCCCAUGACCCAUCGGGCAGCUUCUGGGAAACCAAAAUCUUUGGGUUCUGGGGGGAGUAUGGUUGCAAAGCUGAAACUUGAAGGAAUUGACGGAAGGGCACCACCAGAAGUGGAGCCUGCGGCUUAAUGCCAGGGUCUGGCCUCGGCCGUGGCGUGUGGCUCGUUCACAGGAAGGCAACUUGGGUGAUCAGGAACAAAAAAAUUAGACUGAGACCUCAUUGCUCCUUAGCAUGUUCUCAGCUGGCCACAGCCAGAACCAGCUCCAGGCUGCCGUGCCGUGGCUAUUAAAACAUGCCUAUUUAUUGAGGAAGGUUUAGGAAGUAAGGAGGGUGAGGGGUAGUAAAAAAUUUACUCUAAGGAACAGGGUAUACAAAGUAUGGAAGCAAUAAUUAUAAAACAUGCUGUUUAUCUUGUCAGAUCAGGUAAAAUCAAUCACAGUUCUCAGGAUGAGGAAGUUCAUUUGUCUGUGUAUCUUUUUCUUAGAUCUUGAUUACUGGGAAGGGUCUUUUGAAGAGGGGGCUUGCAGGAUGUUUGAUAGUUUUAGUCCCAGGCCAGUUUGAUAACUUUGCUGAAUACAAAGACCUAGAUAGAAAUCUUGUUAAAUAAAGACACAGUUAAUAUAUGGACUAUCUAUACAUUACAACAAUAGAGGGUGAGUCUAUGAUCUUAUAUGGGAAAUGUAGAUGAUCUUGUAGCUCAGGAGACAACAUAGGAUGUUUUAUUAGCAGUUGUUCAUAGUCAACAGCACAUAGAUGAGAAACUCUUUGUAGUUGAAAGCUACCUGUUGCUUUAGAUAAGAACUCCCAGCUAAAAUGGUUAAUCUUUCUCUGGACCCCUCAGGUUUGUUCAUCCUGUCCUUGCCAGUCAGGCUUUUCCUUUCUAAAAAAAAAAAAAAAAAAAAAAAAAAAAAAAAAAAAGGGUUUUUUUUUUUUUUUGCUGGGUUUUUCAUUUAGGACUAACUUAGUCUACAUAUGCUUCUAAUGCUAAUUUGGUUUAUACUAACUUAAUCUAUAUGUUAAUUUUGGCUUAAAAACAGACAGGUGGGGGCCCUGCCUCAGUUUCUUCCCAGUCCAGGCCUUGCCUUAGAAUGGGAGGCAGCAUCCUUACCAGUUUGUGUUGCCUGCAUGGCCCAGUCAGCUUAAUUUGACUCAACACGGGAAACCUCACCCAGCCCGGACAUAGACAGGAUUGACAGAUUGAUAGCUCUUUCCCGAUUCUGUGGGUGGUGGUGCAUGGCCGUUCUUAGUUGAUGGAGUGAUUUGUCUAGUUAAUUCCGAUAAUGAACGAGACUCUAGCAUGCUAACUAGUUACGCGACCCCCGAGCAGUCGGUGUCCCCCAACUUCUUAGAGGGACAAGUUGCAUUCAGUCACCCGAGAUUGAACAAUAACAGGUCUGUGAUGCCCUCAGAUGUCUGGGGCUGCAUGUGCGCUACACUGACUGGCUCAGCGUGUGCCUACCCUAUGCUGGCAGGCACGGGUAACCCAUUGAACUCCAUUCGUGAUGGUGAUCAGGGAUUGCAAUUGUUCCCCAUGAACAAGGAAUUCCCAGUGAGUGCGGGUCAUAAGCUUGUGUUGAUUAAGUCCCUGCCCUUUGUACACACUGCCUGUCGCUACUACCAAUUGGAUGGUUUAGUGAGGCCCUCGGAUCAGCCCCACCGGGGUCGGCCCACAGCUCUGGUGGAGUGCUGAGAAGACGGUCGAACUUGACUAUCUAGAGGAAGUAAAAAUUGUAACAAGGUUUCCAUAGGUGAACCUGCAGAAGAAUCAUUA
rnacentral:rRNA from 1 species